GAUGAACGCUGGCGGCGUGCCUAAUACAUGCAAGUCGAGCGAACAGACGAGGAGCUUGCUCCUCUCACGUUUGCGGCGGACGGGUGAGUAACACGUGUAUACCCUCCCUAUAUGACUGGGAUAACUUCGGGAAACCGGAGCUAAUACCGGAUAAUAUCUUGAACCGCAUGGUUCAAUAGUGAAAGACGGCUUUGCUGUCACUUAUAGAUGGUUCCGCGCCGCAUUAGCUAGUUGGUAAGUUAACAGCUUACCAAGGCAAGCAGGCGUAGCCGACCUGAGAGAGUGAUCGGCCACAUGGGAGCGGGGACACGGUCCAGACUCCUACGGGAGGCAGCAGUAGGGAAUCUUCGGCAGUGGGCGAAAGCAUGGCGGAGCGACGCCGCGUGAGUGAUAAAGGUGUUCGGAUCGUAAAACCCUGUUAUGAGGGAAGAACAAAUGUGGAAGGAGAUAUGCACGUCUUGACGGUACCGGAUCAGAAAGCCACGGCUAACUACGUG
rnacentral:rRNA from 1 species